rnacentral:lncRNA from 10 species
GUGCAGGGAGCAGGCAGCGUCUGCAAAGUAGCGCUGGCAACCACAACAGAGAGGCCAGCAACAGGAGGAGCAGGAGGAGCCCAAUGAAGCGUGCUGUGGAGGACAAAGAGCAGCAGAGGCAGGAAGCAGUGACAAGGAGUGAGCUGGGAAAUUCCAGCUGCCCUCCUGUCCUACUUACAAGGAAUAGCCUGGAACAAGUACAGUUGACUCUGAACAAGUCAGGUUUGAACUGCAUGGGUCCACUCAUAUGAAGAUUUCUUUCAACGAAAGCUACCCCGAGUGUGCCUGCCUUUCCUGCCUCCCCUUCCACCUCCUGCACCUCUACCAUCCCUGCCACCCCUAAGACAGCAAGGCCAGUCUCUUCUCUCUCCCCCUCCUCCUUCAGCCUAUUCAACUUGAAGAUGACAAGGAUGAAGAGCUUUAUGAUGAUCUACUUCCCCUUAAUGAACAGUAAAUAUAUUUUUUCUUCCUUACAAUUUUCUUAAUAGCAUUUUCUUUUCUCUAGCUUACCUUAUUGUAAGAAUACAGUGUAUAAUACAUAAAACAUACAAAAUAUGUGUUAAUAAACUGUUUAUGUUAUUGG